GACGUAGGGAGCAAGCGUUGUCCGGAAUUACUGGGCGUAAAGAGCUCGUAGGCGGGAGCGUACGUCUGAGAGGAAAUCUCAAGGCUCAACUUUGGGGCUUUCUCAGGUACGGCGCUUCUUGAGUGUAAGAGAGGAAAGCAGAAUUCCCGGUGUAGCGGUGAAAUGCGUAGAUAUCGGGAGGAAUACCAGUGGCGAAGGCGGCUUUCUGGCUUACUACUGUCGCUGAGGAGCGAAAGCGUGGGGAGCGAACGGG
rnacentral:rRNA from 1 species